rnacentral:rRNA from 1 species
AACGAACACUGGCGGCAUGCCUAACACAUGCAAGUCGAACGAGACCUUCGGGUCUAGUGGCGCACGGGUGCGUAACGCGUGGGAACCUGCCCUUAGGUUCGGAAUAACUCCCCGAAAGGGGUGCUAAUACCGGAUAGUGUCUUCGGACCAAAGAUUUAUCGCCUUUGGAUGGGCCCGCGUUGGAUUAGCUAGUUGGUAGGGUAAAAGCCUACCAAGGCGACGAUCCAUAGCUGGUCUGAGAGGAUGAUCAGCCACACUGGGACUGAGCCACGGCCCAGACUCCUACGGGAGGCAGCAGUGGGGAAUAUUGGACAAUGGGCGAAAGCCUGAUCCAGCAAUGCCGCGUGAGUGAUGAAGGCCUUAGGGUUGUAAAGCUCUUUUACCCGGGAUGAUAAUGACAGUACCGGGAGAAUAAGCUCCGGCUAACUCCGUG